CAGCCGCCGCGGUAACACCAGCCCCUCGAGUGGUAGGGAUGAUUAUUUGGCCUAAAGCGUCCGUAGCCGGCCGGAUAAGUCUCCCGUUAAAUCCAGCGUCUCAAGCGUUGGACUGCGGGAGAUACUGUCUGGCUAGAGAGUGGGAGAGGUGUACGGUAUUCUGGGGGUAGGGGCGAAAUCCAUUGAUCCCCGGAGGACCACCAGUGGCGAAGGCUGUACACUAGAACACGUCUGACGGUCAGGGACGAAAGCUGGGUAGCGAACCGGAUUAGAUACCCGGGUAGUCCCAGCCGUAAACGAUGCACGCUAGGUGUUGGGUCGGCCACGAGCCGCCCCAGUGCCGCAGGGAAGCCAUUAAGCGUGCCGCCUGGGGAGUACGGCCGCAAGGCUGAAACUUAAAGGAAUUGGCGGGGGAGCAC
rnacentral:rRNA from 1 species